AAAUUGAAGAGUUUGAUCAUGGCUCAGAUUGAACGCUGGCGGCAGGCCUAACACAUGCAAGUCGAGCGGAAACGAGUUAUCAGAACCUUCGGGGAACGAUAGCGGCGUCGAGCGGCGGACGGGUGAGUAAUGCCUAGGAAAUUGCCCUGAUGUGGGGGAUAACCAUUGGAAACGAUGGCUAAUACCGCAUGAUGCCUACGGGCCAAAGAGGGG
rnacentral:rRNA from 1 species